UGGCUCUCGCAUCGAUGAAGAACGCAGCGAAACGCGAUAAGUAAUGUGAAUUGCAGAAUUCAGUGAAUCAUCGAAUCUUUGAACGCACCUUGCACUCCUUGGUAUUCCGAGGAGUAUGCCUGUUUGAGUGUCAUGACUCUCUCCACUACACACUUGUUGUUGUAGCAGGGAUUUGAAGGUUGUUGGACCCUGGUGUUCAACUCUUUCUAAUAGCAUUAGCUGGAUCUACAAUCCUGCAGCGUGAUAAUAUCUACACUGUAAGGGAAGGGCUUGUGUUUCAUACACUCGUCCGUAGUACUUUGGCUUCUAAUCGUCUUCGGACAACAUUCUUGACAUCUGACCUCAAAUCAGGUAGGACUACCCGCUGA
rnacentral:misc_RNA from 1 species